AAAGAAGCCUCAGCAAUCUCCAAGGAGGUAUGAAGUUGGAUCACCUCUGUCCAUUUCACUUUGCUGAUAUGAGGAUAUAUUGAGAGAGAGAGAGUGCAUGUGUGUGUGCAUAUGUGUGUGUGUGUGUCCAGACCAACACCAGGCAUAAUACUACAACAAGAUACGUCUUGUGCUGCUGGGAGAGCUUACACUAUAGUCUGAACUUCUACAGAGCCUUUUCCUACUGUAAACCUCACUCAAAAAUGACAGCCUUCCAUUUCACAAGAAUCAGAGUCUUGCUAUGUUGCCCACGUGGUAUCAACUCCUGGCCUCAAGUGAUCUUCCUGCCUCAGCUUACCAAAGUGUUGGGAUUACAGAUGUGAGCCACAGUGCCCAGUCUGUGUGUGUUUUUAUAAUUGGAAGUACAUGACAUCUUUUACACAAUAUGCAAAUGCAUAUUGAGGAAGGAGGGAGAGCAACUAUGUCUAAAAGUAAUCACAAUAAGUCUUGA
ensembl:lncRNA novel transcript